CAGGCUGGAGUUCAGUGGCUGGAUAUAAUCUAGGCUCUCUGCAACCUCCGCCUCCCAAGCUCAAGCAACUCUCAUGCCUCGGCCUUUGGAGUAGCUGAAAUGACGGGCACCUGCCACAUGCCUGGAUAAUUUUUGUAUUUUUAGUAGAGAUGGGGUUUUGCCAUGUUGGCCAGGCUGGUCUCAAACUGCUGACCUCAAGCGAUCUGCCCACCUCA